AGAGUUUGAUCAUGGCUCAGGACGAACGCUGGCGGCGUGCUUAACACAUGCAAGUCGAACGGAGCACCCCUGAAGGAGUUUUCGGACAACGGAUGGGAAUGCUUAGUGGCGGACUGGUGAGUAACGCGUGAGGAACCUGCCUUCCAGAGGGGGACAACAGUUGGAAACGACUGCUAAUACCGCAUGAUGCGUUGGAGCCGCAUGACUCCGACGUCAAAGAUUUAUCGCUGGAAGAUGGCCUCGCGUCUGAUUAGCUAGUUGGUGAGGUAACGGCCCACCAAGGCGACGAUCAGUAGCCGGACUGAGAGGUUGGCCGGCCACAUUGGGACUGAGAUACGGCCCAGACUCCUACGGGAGGCAGCAGUGCCGAAUAUUGGGCAAUGGACGCAAGUCUGACCCAGCAACGCCGCGUGAAGGAAGAAGGCUUUCGGGUUGUAAACUUCUUUUAAGGGGGAAGAGCACAAGACGGUACCCCUU
rnacentral:rRNA from 1 species